CUACGUAGGGGGCGAGCGUUGUCCGGAAUGAUUGGGCGUAAAGGGCGCGUAGGCGGCGCGGUAAGUCUGGAGUGAAAGUCCUGCUUUCAAGGUGGGAAUUGCUUUGGAUACUGCCGCGCUUGAGUGCAGGAGAGGUUAUCGGAAUUCCCGGUGUAGCGGUGAAAUGCGUAGAGAUCGGGAGGAACACCAGUGGCGAAGGCGGGUAACUGGACUGCAACUGACGCUGAGGCGCGAAAGUGUGGGGAGCAAACAGGAUUAGAUACCCUGGUAGUCCACACUGUAAACGAUGAAUACUAGGUGUCGGGUUUCUAUAGAGAUUCGGUGCCGCAGCAAACGCAAUAAGUAUUCCACCUGGGGAGUACGUUCGCAAGAAUGAAACUCAAAUGAAUUGGCGGGG
rnacentral:rRNA from 1 species